GUACAUUGUAUGGGAGUGUCUCAAUGUAAAACUCGUUUUUUAUUGGCUUGUUAAUCUUGUGUCCCUGUUCCCAACAAGGUCCACCUGGGUGUCACCCUUGUUGGGAAACCUGCAUAAAAGGCCAGUGUGCCUCCAUUAAAAUUCAGUUCCUGAUUUACCCUUGUGACGAGACCAAUCUCGCCACUGUGCAUUGGAGGAGCCUGGUGUCCCGCCUGCUGCCUUUAGACUAUAGCCCCAUGUUGAAACGC